rnacentral:rRNA from 1 species
AUUGAACGCUGGCGGCAGGCUUAACACAUGCAAGUCGAGCGGGGGAAGGUAGCUUGCUACUGGACCUAGCGGCGGACGGGUGAGUAAUGCUUAGGAAUCUGCCUAUUAGUGGGGGACAACAUCUCGAAAGGGAUGCUAAUACCGCAUACGUCCUACGGGAGAAAGCAGGGGAUCUUCGGACCUCGCGCUAAUAGAUGAGCCUAAGUCGGAUUAGCUAGUUGGUGGGGUAAAGGCCUACCAAGGCGACGAUCUGUAGCGGGUCUGAGAGGAUGAUCCGCCACACUGGGACUGAGACACGGCCCAGACUCCUACGGGAGGCAGCAGUGGGGAAUAUUGGACAAUGGGCGCAAGCCUGAUCCAGCCAUGCCGCGUGUGUGAAGAAGGCCUUAUGGUUGUAAAGCACUUUAAGCGAGGAGGAGGCUACUUUAGAUAAUACCUAGAGAUAGUGGACGUUACUCGCAGAAUAAGCACCGGCUAACUCUGUGCCAGCCGCCGCCGUAACAC